UGAUGACGUUUGCACAUGUUGAAAUGUAUAAAAGCACAAGGCUGCCGCACACAACUACAGACUUAACAGAUUCUUUCGUGAUAGACUCAAUCAUCAAAACAUCUACAAGCUAUCUUCAGAGGCUGUCUGGUGUUAGCGCGCUUGAAAGGCGGUAAACAUGAAUGAAAAAAAAGCCAUUCUUUUGAUGAUAUUCAUAUUACACGAUGGAACAACAAGCAGACUAUUGCCACCUACACAUGCAAUUGUCAAUACAACACGGCCAGAAGACAAGUUUCCAUUGGAAAAAACGUUCCUUGGACAUGGAAGCGCCAUUGAAGGGAAAUUUGACGAUAUGCCAACUUUUGCAAUGAAUGAUUUACAAAAUAAUCAUGAUGGCAGCGAACGUGUGCAAGCUUUACGUCGACUUGCCAAACGACAUCUUGAUCCUAAGUAUUUGAGACAUGGGGAUGCAAUAUCAUUGAAAUACACGGCAAUGCGGACUGAGUGGUUGAGUUGCUGGGGAUCUGGAUAUUGGUGUGAAUUGCGUUCGUGCCCUGGAACAAAUAAUCCGUCACACAGCUGUCGAGGAGAGGUUUUCUGGAUCUAUGGACGUGGAAGGCACCCCAAUCAAAAAAUACUGACAUGUGAUACUGUCGGUCUACAGUACAGCUUUAUGCGGGGUUCCCAUUAUUGGCUCAGUGAAGAUGAAAACCAUCAGGGGUACUAUUAUAAGACGCGCACAUGCCCUGGUGACGGUUUCGAAUUUGGCUACGGGUGGUCGGGUUGCCCUAGGGAAAAGUUUGUAAUACGAGUUGAAGGAAAGGGAUGUGGCGAGAAUGUGGAGGACAGGGAUGACAUACAGUUGCAAGCCGAAAACAACUUUUAUGUGGCAGGUUAUUAUGGUUACCGUUGGAUAUAUGCCACCCAUACGGAACCGUCGCCAUGGAAAUUGUAUAUCCUUUAAUUCUCCAACACUAAAACCAUAUAAACAAACUAUUAUUUCCAUUUCUCAGUUUUGAUGGAAAUGGUGUGCUGUUGGGGCAGGUGAAGUUUCACUUUUGUAUACUUUAAAUUGUUUAUGAUGUAUGUAAUUUCAACAUGUUAACUAUUGCUUUUAUUCAAUUUUUAGUAUCUCAGUAUAUAUUUAAUGCAUGUCCAUUGAAUGACUAAUGUUUAUAUAUAAAAAGUUCUGGUAAAGAAAGAAAACAAUUAAUACAAAUAUUUUAUGAAUAAUUAACUCGAGCUUUGUCACACACGUGACGAAUACCUCCACAUGCCGCAUUGACACAAAAUAUGUUGCAUGUCGUCUUCACAAAAAAAUAGAAAGCUACUUGUGGCGUUUUUUUAAGAAUCAUGAUGCAACUGUGACCUUGAUCUUGGAGAUAGCGACGUAAUUCUUUCGCAUGGCACACAGUCCAAUGAUAGCAAAAAAAGUACUUAGUCAUUUUUAAAUUUCACAAUGAUAAGCAUAGUUAUGUCCCGGACAAGCUCAUCUAUGACCAAUUUUGACCUAUUCCCCAAGUUUGACUUUAACUAUGGAGACAUCGACGUUAUUCUUUCCCAUGACUCACCAUCCAAGGUCGAUGAACAAAUGAACACAGUCAUUUUUUUUAAUAUCACAAUGAAUGACAUAGUUAUGGCCCGCACAAGCUCCUUUAUGGCCAUGCUUGACAGUUGAACUCAAAGUGUGACCUUGACCUUGGAGAUUUUGACGUAAUUCUUUCGCACAACACACUGUCCAAGGAUGAUGAUGCAACCAUUAAUGAAACGCCCCCCAGAUGUGCCGAAAGAUUGUACAAUCGCACAAUGAAUAACAUAGUUAAAGCCUGGACAAACUUUCGGGACCGACCGACUGACCGGCCAACCGACCGACAAAGUGACUCCUAUAAAGCCCCCUCCCAUAUAAGAACAACAAACAUAUUCAUUAAGAAGUUCGUGUUUAUGUGUAUUCAUGUACAAAAAAAAACACAAUACAAAACUACAUUUGUACAUGCUUUAAUAAACAUUGUGUAUCCAUAUGUAUUCAAAUAAAUAUAAAAACCUA